ACAAAGGCUCUUUUAAGAGCCACAUCACUCUUUUAAAUG
rfam:Takifugu rubripes genomic scaffold, scaffold_7402